ACUUGGGUGGCUCAGUGGUUAAGCAUCUGACUUCAGCUCAGGUCAUGAUCUCACAGUUCGUGGGUUCGAGCCCCGCAUCAGGCU
rnacentral:tRNA from 1 species